rnacentral:ncRNA from 2 species
CUAUCUUUGAUUAGAGGUUGUGUUUAAGGAAUGGGGUGCAAAUCCCCAGCUGUGCCGCAACCGUAGAGCCGGAAAACUAGCAACCCUCUGGGCAGAAGG